GGGACACGUGGUAUCCUGUCUGAAUAUGGGGGGACCAUCCUCCAAGGCUAAAUACUCCUGACUGACCGAUAGUGAACCAGUACCGUGAGGGAAAGGCGAAAAGAACCCCGGCGAGGGGAGUGAAAAAGAACCUGAAACCGUGUACGUACAAGCAGUGGGAGCACGCUUAGGCGUGUGACUGCGUACCUUUUGUAUAAUGGGUCAGCGACUUAUAUUCUGUAGCAAGGUUAACCGAAUAGGGGAGCCGAAGGGAAACCGAGUCUUAACUGGGCGUUAAGUUGCAGGGUAUAGACCCGAAACCCGGUGAUCUAGCCAUGGGCAGGUUGAAGGUUGGGUAACACUAACUGGAGGACCGAACCGACUAAUGUUGAAAAAUUAGCGGAUGACUUGUGGCUGGGGGUGAAAGGCCAAUCAAACCGGGAGAUAGCUGGUUCUCCCCGAAAGCUAUUUAGGUAGCGCCUCGUGAAUUCAUCUCCGGGGGUAGAGCACUGUUUCGGCAAGGGGGUCAUCCCGACUUACCAACCCGAUGCAAACUGCGAAUACCGGAGAAUGUUAUCACGGGAGACACACGGCGGGUGCUAACGUCCGUCGUGAAGAGGGAAACAACCCAGACCGCCAGCUAAGGUCCCAAAGUCAUGGUUAAGUGGGAAACGAUGUGGGAAGGCCCAGACAGCCAGGAUGUUGGCUUAGAAGCAGCCAUCAUUUAAAGAAAGCGUAAUAGCUCACUGGUCGAGUCGGCCUGCGCGGAAGAUGUAACGGGGCUAAACCAUGCACCGAAGCUGCGGCAGCGACGCUUAUGCGUUGUUGGGUAGGGGAGCGUUCUGUAAGCCUGCGAAGGUGUGCUGUGAGGCAUGCUGGAGGUAUCAGAAGUGCGAAUGCUGACAUAAGUAACGAUAAAGCGGGUGAAAAGCCCGCUCGCCGGAAGACCAAGGGUUCCUGUCCAACGUUAAUCGGGGCAGGGUGAGUCGACCCCUAAGGCGAGGCCGAAAGGCGUAGUCGAUGGGAAACAGGUUAAUAUUCCUGUACUUGGUGUUACUGCGAAGGGGGGACGGAGAAGGCUAUGUUGGCCGGGCGACGGUUGUCCCGGUUUAAGCGUGUAGGCUGGUUUUCCAGGCAAAUCCGGAAAAUCAAGGCUGAGGCGUGAUGACGAGGCACUACGGUGCUGAAGCAACAAAUGCCCUGCUUCCAGGAAAAGCCUCUAAGCAUCAGGUAACAUCAAAUCGUACCCCAAACCGACACAGGUGGUCAGGUAGAGAAUACCAAGGCGCUUGAGAGAACUCGGGUGAAGGAACUAGGCAAAAUGGUGCCGUAACUUCGGGAGAAGGCACGCUGAUAUGUAGGU
rnacentral:rRNA from 1 species